rnacentral:rRNA from 1 species
UACGUAGGGGGCAAGCGUUGUCCGGAAUUAUUGGGCGUAAAGAGCGUGUAGGCGGUCCGGUAAGUCAGCUGUGAAAGUCAAGGGCUCAACCCUUGAAAGCCGGUUGAUACUGUCGGGCUAGAGUCCGGAAGAGGCGAGUGGAAUUCCCGGUGUAGCGGUGAAAUGCGCAGAUAUCAGGAAGAACACCCGUGGCGAAGGCGGCUCUCUGGGACGGUACUGACGCUGAGACGCGAAAGCCAGGGGAGCAAACGGG